rnacentral:snRNA from 1 species
AGCUUGGUGCAGUGGCAGUAUCAUAGCCAGUGAGGUUUAACUGAGGUGUCAUCAUAGUUAAUUGAAAUGUCAUUACAUAUCUAGACAAGUAUUUUCCUGAUAACUUUCCCAUGAGGUAAGAAAAAAAAAACAAUAUGUAUGUGAAAUAUUUAAAAGUCUUGCAAAGA